AGAUACUGGCGCUGUCAGCUCUGUCAGCUUUUUUUUGUGGAAGAAGCACUGAUUCCCUAGUCAAGGGCUAGCACUCCACCAAUCAGAUUGGUCAUUGAGCCCGUCUGCCCACUGGCCAACUUAACAAGUCAAAUCGGCCAAAAUGGAUGCCGACAGCUCCUGCUGCUG